rnacentral:rRNA from 1 species
UACAGAGGAUGCAAGCGUUAUCCGGAAUGAUUGGGCGUAAAGCGUCUGUAGGUGGCUUUUUAAGUCCGCCGUCAAAUCCCAGGGCUCAACUCUGGACAGGCGGUGGAAACUACCAAGCUGGAGUACGGUAGGGGCAGAGGGAAUUUCCGGUGGAGCGGUGAAAUGCGUAGAUAUCGGGAGGAAUACCUAUGGCGAAAGCAGGCUACUGGACCAUCACUGACGCUGAUCUGCGAAAGCUAGGGGAGCAAACAGG